rnacentral:rRNA from 1 species
CUUUGCUGACGAGUGGCGGACGGGUGAGUAAUGUCUGGGAAACUGCCUGAUGGAGGGGGAUAACUACUGGAAACGGUAGCUAAUACCGCAUAACGUCGCAAGACCAAAGAGGGGGACCUUCGGGCCUCUUGCCAUCGGAUGUGCCCAGAUGGGAUUAGCUAGUAGGUGGGGUAACGGCUCACCUAGGCGACGAUCCCUAGCUGGUCUGAGAGGAUGACCAGCCACACUGGAACUGAGACACGGUCCAGACUCCUACGGGAGGCAGCAGUGGGGAAUAUUGCACAAUGGGCGCAAGCCUGAUGCAGCCAUGCCGCGUGUAUGAAGAAGGCCUUCGGGUUGUAAAGUACUUUCAGCGGGGAGGAAGG